CCCAGACUCCUACGGGAGGCAGCAGUGGGGGAUAUUGCACAAUGGGGGGAAACCCUGAUGCAGCGACGCCGCGUGAGUGAAGAAGUAUUUCGGUAUGUAAAGCUCUAUCAGCAGGGACGAAAAUGACGGUACCUGAGUAAGAAGCCCCGGCUAACUACGUGCCAGCAGCCGCGGUAAUACGUAGGGGGCAAGCGUUAUCCGGAUUUACUGGGUGUAAAGGGAGCGUAGACGGUUAUGCAAGUCUGGAGUGAAAGGCGGGGGCUCAACCCCCGGACUGCUCUGGAAACUGUAGAACUAGAGUGCAGGAGGGGUAAGUGGAAUUCCUAGUGUAGCGGUGAAAUGCGUAGAUAUUAGGAGGAACACCAGUGGCGAAGGCGGCUUACUGGACUGUAACUGACGUUGAGGCUCGAAAGCGUGGGGAGCAAACAGGAUUAGAUACCCCCGUA
rnacentral:rRNA from 1 species